UAGAUGCCAGAAGCACCUUCACCCCAUCU
rnacentral:piRNA from 1 species